UAUUGCAUCAGAAUACAGAAAUUUGAUAUUCAAUUUCCGUGAUGGCUGAAAAAUCUUCGCACCCUUGUUGAUUUUUAAAGGAAAUAUAUUUUCUGCAUUUGGGUUUAUUUUGGUUGACUGGGUAGUUACCCUUCUGAUGGGAUACAUCAUGCAAGCGUGUUUGGAGGACAAAAUCUUAAAACCCCCCUAUUUUUGAGGUUGUAUAAUCCUGUCUUUCAGGAUUUGGCUAUUUUAUGCCAAUAUUUUUGGGCUACUAGUGCCAACGUAAAUUUAUGGCCAAUACAAUGCCAAUUACAGUGAAGGAUUGCUAUACGGUGUCAAUUCCUCUAAAUAUUUUUCCAGAUCCGAUGAAAGCCCCAUUAGAAAUUGACCAUCUCUCCUCCUCCUUUUCUUCUUCUUCGCCAAGUGAAGACAUGUCACGGUAUAAGAAAGAAAUGAAAGAGAAUAUAGCUUUUUGGGGCAAUUUUCUGGAUUUUUAUAAAUGAAAUUGAAAAAAAUAUUUGAAAUUCGAACUAUAAUCUAAACUAAUAACGAAAAUUAACAGAAUUAAAAACUCCAGCUAAAACUCCAUUGCUAAGUUAGGGAUCUGCAGAUGAAUAAGAAGAAUGAGAAGAAUUGGAAGAAGAAAGAAAAGGAUCGAGAAAGAAGGAGUGUGAAGAAGAGAGUAAGAUUACCAGAAUUUUCGUGAAUGCCUUUCUCUCUCCAAAGUUUUAGCUAUGUAACUGAAUUUGAGAGAGCAAAGUUGGCAACCAGCACACUAGCGCAUAAAAAGCUAUGAUAUUGAAUUUUUUGGGUUUUAUUUCAACAAUUCUUUGAUUAUGCUUAAUGCGUGCCUUUAUGCAGUGAGAAUUUAGUUUUGAGCAUUUUAAGCUGCUUCUAUGCCGUACGCAGAUGUUUAUUGUCGGAAUUCUUCUUUAACUGUUUCUGAUUUUGCGCUUUUUUUGCUCAUUUGAUCUGUAAGCUUUCUGGGUUUAUGCGUUUAUAUAAUGUGCAUAUAUGUUAGUUUCACUGUCCAGAUAGUUGUCAAAUCUAUACUUUUACCAAAGUGAUAUAUAUAUAUAUAUAUAUAGUUGCGGUAAGUUGAUGGCCAGAGUAAAAAUAAUCUAUUUUUUAUAAGUAUAAAAAAAAUAGUCUAAACUUUGAUAAAACUUCUAGUAGCCUAGGAAUGUGAGCCUGAAUAGAGAGGAAUGGAUACAGAUGAUUCAUAUAGUUGAUCCUAGCAUUCUAUGAUAGAGUCAUAGUUGAUUGAUUGAUUGAUUUAUGGAAAGAGAACGAAUAGCGAGUGAAUGGCAAAACUACAAUGAAACCAUUAAUUGCUGAAUCUGUUGGGAUGUGUCGAAAUCUGUGACUGUGAGCUUGAAAAGAGAGGAAUGGGUACAUAUGAUUCAUGUGGCUAAUCUGACCUUGUUUCUGGUAGUCGUAGUUGGAUGAUUGAUAUUUUGGAUAGAGCAUGGUAAAAUACCUUUUGAGUUAAUAAGCUUCAAUGGUUUGCUCGAGCGGUUAUGAUGUCUUCGCUCCAGCAGUUAUCAAUUUCUUUGCUGCUUACAAUACUUAUUGGGGUCUAUAGAGUGCACCUACGGGCUACGGCUGCAUAGUUAUGUAGAUGGUAUGCAUAAGCCUAUAGGAGCUCUAUGUGAAGAUGUCUUGAACAGAGCAGCCAUUUUGUGAUUGGAGCGUUCAAUAUUAGUUUUUAAAUUAUAAGUGUUCCCUAGAUGGUUUAGAAACUUUAUUCUGACCUGAUUUUUAACAUGUGAGAUGCUUUCGGAAACUUUGAACAGCUCCUGCGGAGGUAGGGCUACAAUGUGUAGCAGUUUUAUCAGAUCCUGCUUGAGGCACGCGUAAGCCUUGAAGCUCAGCGAAGCAUAGUCCGGUCACUUUUAUUUGCCUAAGUGGCGCUUUAUUGCAAAUAUCAAGGCAUUAAGGAAGACUUUGUAGGCAAAACUGAUAUGGCAGCAAGGAAUGCUUUCAGAUAUGUUUCUCGUAGGCUCUACAGCUAUGGUAAGGUACUAAGCGAGGAGGAAAGAGCAGCUGAAAAUGUCUACAUCAAGCUUUCAGAAAUGGAUAUUGGAUUAACAGUUGGUGGUGCAUUUCUCUCUUCAAUUCUGCAAGUUCUCUUUGAUAGGCUUGCUCCUCAAGGUGAGCUGCUGAAGAUGUUUCAAAGGGGCAAGCAUGAUGUUUUGCUGUUAAAGAAGCUGAGGAGGACUUUGCGUGGUCUUAAGAUUGUGCUAAAUGAUGCAGAGAAUAAACAGGCAUCAAAUCCAAAUGUGAGCGAGUGGCUUUAUGAACUUCGGGAUGCUGUAGACAGUGCUGAAAACUUAAUGGAAGAAAUCAAUUAUGAAGUUCUCCGAGUUAAGGUGGAAGGUCAGUAUCAAAAUCUUGUAGACACAAGCAACCAGCAGGGAAGUGAUCUCAACUUGUGCUUGAGUGAUAAAUUUUUUCUUUACAUAAAGGAGAAGUUGGUAGAUUCCAUUGAAACAUUGGAGGAGCUGCAAAAGCAAAUUGGCUGCCUUGGCCUAAAUGACCAUCUUGACUCGGGUAAACAAGAAACUAGAAGACUUUCAACUUCUGUGGUUGAUGAAUUUGAUAUCUUUGGUAGGCAGAAUGAAAUAAAUAUAUUGGUUGACCGUUUAUUGUCUGAUGAUGCAAUUAAAAAAAGGUUGACUGUAAUUCCUAUUGUUGGAAUGGCAGGUGUUGGCAAGACAACACUUGCUAAAGUUGUUUACAAUGAUGAGAAGGUGAAACAACAUUUUAAGUUGAAAUCUUGGAUCUCUGUGUCUGAACCAUAUGAUGUUUUUAGAAUAACAAAAGGGUUACUUCAAGAAAUUGGUUCAUCCGACUUGAUGGUUGAUAACAAUCUUAAUCAGCUUCAGAUCAAAUUGAUGGAAAGCUUAAAGGGGAAAAAGUUCCUUAUUGUUUUAGAUGAUGUUUGGAAUGACAACUACAAUGACUGGUAUGACUUGAGAAUUCCUUUUGCACAAGGAGAAAAUGGAAGUAUGAUCAUUGUGACGACACGUAAGGAGAGUGUUGCCUUGAUGAUGGGUAUUGGGCCAAUUAACGUGGGAACUUUGUCUACUGAAGUCUCUUGGCCUUUAUUCGAAAGACAUGCAUUUGAAAAUAGGGAUCCUAAGGAACAUCCAGAACUUGAAGAGGUAGGAAAACAAAUUGCAAAGAAGUGCAAAGGAUUGCCUUUAGCACUAAAGACGCUUGCUGGUUUGUUGCGCUCCAAAUCAGAGGUUGAAGAGUGGAGACGUGUUUUGAGAAGCGAAAUAUGGGAACUGCCGGAUAACAGCAUAUUACCAGCGCUGAUGCUGAGCUACAUUGAUCUUCCCGUGCAUUUGAGGCAAUGUUUUUCCUAUUGUGCAAUAUUUCCCAAAGAUUAUCCAUUUUGCAAAGAACAAGUCAUUCGACUCUGGAUUGCUAAUGGUCUCGUACAACAGUUGCAAAAAGAUGAAACAGUUGAAGAUUUAGGCAACCAAUACUUUCUCGAGUUGCGAUCAAGAUCGUUGUUCGAAAGGGUCCAAGAGUCCUCUAAAAGGAAGGUAGAGGUAUUCUUAAUGCAUGACCUUGUCAAUGAUUUGGCCCAAAUGGCAUCUUCAAAACUUUGUAUCAAUCUGGAAGAUAAUGAAGGAUCUCAUAUAUUGGAAAAAAGUCGACACCUAUCAUAUUCAAUGGGAUAUGGUGACUUUGAGAAAUUGAAACCCCUACACAAAUUGAAGCAGCUGAGAACAUUGCUUCCAAUAAGUUUUGAGCUUGAUAAUUCAUUUCCUUUAAGCAAGAGGGUGUUGAAUAACAUAUUGCCAUGUCUAACAUCCUUAAGGGCAUUAUCAUUGGCUUGUUAUGAGAUUGAGGAGUUGCCAAAUGUCUUGUUAAUCGAAUUAAAGCUCCUGAAAUUUUUGGACCUUUCCCUGACAAAGAUAAGAAAGUUACCAGAUUCGAUUUGUGUAUUGUACAACUUAGAGACAUUUCUCUUGUCAUCUUGUUAUUAUCUUGAGGAGUUACCAGUGCAAAUGGAAAAGUUGAUCAACUUGCGUUACCUUGACAUUAGCAACACUUCUCGCUUGAAGCUACCGCUACAUCCAAGCAAGUUCAAAAGCCUCCACGUGCUAGUGGGAGCUAAAUUUCUUCUAGAUGGUUGCAGUGGUUCGAGAAUCGGAGGUAUGGAUAAGCUGCAUAACUUGUAUGGAUCUCUUUCAAUUCUAGAGUUGCAAAAUGUGGUUGAUAGAAGGGAAGCUGUGAAGGCAAACAUGAGGGACAAGAAUCAUAUUGAAAAGUUAUCGUUGGAGUGGAGUGAGAGUAUUGCUGACAGUUCACAAGAUGAAAGAGACAUACUUGAUGAGCUACAUCCAAAUCGGAACAUAAAAGAACUCCAAAUCACCGGAUAUGCAGGGACAAAGUUUCCAAACUGGAUCGCUGAUCAUUCGUUUCUUAAACUGGUGAAAUUGUCUCUUAGCAAUUGCAAGGAUUGUGAUUCCCUUCCAGCACUAGGACAACUUCCUUCUUUGAAAUUCCUUGCAAUUCGAGGGAUGCAUCGAAUAGUGGAGGUAGCUGAAGAUUUUUAUGGUAAUUUGUCUUCCAAGAAGCCUUUUAACUCUCUUGAGAAGCUUGAAUUUGCAAGGAUGCUGGAGUGGAAGCACUGGCAUGUAUUAGGGAAUGGAGAUUUCCCUACACUUCAGGACCUUUCAAUUUUUGAUUGCCCAAAGUUGAUUGGGAAGUUUCCUCAAAAUCUUUGUUCUCUAACAAGAUUGAUAAUUUCAAAAUGUCCUGAACUCAUUAUGGAGACACCUAUUCAACUUUCAAGUUUGAAAAAGUUUGUAGUUGUUGGUUCUCCUAAGGUUGGAGUUCUUUCUGAUCAUGCUGAACUGUUUGCAUCCCAACUUCAGGGAAUGAAGCAGAUAGUUGAAUUAUGUAUUGAUCACUCUGACUCUCUUACCUGCUUACCCAUUAGCAGUUUGCCAAGCACUUUGAAGAAACUAAGGAUGCGUCGUUGUCAGAAAUUGAAAUUGGAGACGUCAAUUAGUCAGAUGAUUUCUAGAGGAAGUAACAUGUUUCUCGAGAAUCUGGAACUUGAUGCAUGUGAUUCUAUAGAUGAUAUAUCACCUGAGUUGGUUCCAAGAGCACGCUAUUUUAGCGUAGAAAGUUGUCACAGCCUUACUAGGCUUUUGAUUCCCAAUGGUACUGAACAUCUCAGAAUUAAUGAAUGUGAAAAUCUGGAAAUACUUUUGGUGGCAUGCGGGACUCAGACGAUGCCAUUGCGUAAGUUGUAUAUUUUCAACUGCGAAAAGCUGAAGUCGCUUCCAGAACGUAUGGAGGAACUCCUUCCAUAUCUUAAGGAACUGCUACUUCAAAAUUGUCCAGAAAUGGAGUCUUUUCCUGAAGGAGGAUUGCCCUGCAAUUUAGAAGUCCUUGAGAUCCACAAUUGCAAGAAACUGGUGAAUUGCCGGAAGGAGUGGGACUUACAGAGACUCCCUUUUCUCACAGAUUUAACCAUCUACCAUGAUGGUAGUGAUGAAGAGAUUCUUGCUGGUGAAAAUUGGGAGUUGCCUUGCUCUAUUCGAAGUCUUGAAGUAGACAAUCUGAAAACAUUAAGCUGCCAAGUUGUCAAACGCCUCACCUCGCUUGAAUCUCUAUUUAUUGUUAAUUUACCCCAAAUUCGGUCACUGCUGGAAGAAGGGCUUCCCUCAUCUCUUUCUGAGUUAUAUUUAUAUCGGCAUCAUGAGCUCCAUUCACUACCAACCGAAGGUCUUAGGCACCACACUUCCCUUCGAUUUCUAGAGAUCAGCUCCUGCUAUCAACUUCAAUCUCUUCCAGAAUCAGCGCUUCCCUCCUCCCUUUCUGUGCUGAAUAUAUGGGAUUGCCCUCUUGCAGAAUCAGCACUGCCCUCUUCCCUCUCUAAGCUGUCCAUCUGGACUUGCCCUAAUCUCCAAUCCCUUCCAGUAAAAGGGAUGCCCUCUUCCAUCUCUAGACUAUCUAUUCACAACUGCCCAUUGCUCAAACCACGUCUAGAAUUCGAGAAGGGUGAUUACUGGCCAAAAAUUGCUCAUAUUCCCACCAUAAAGGUCGAGGGGGAGUACCUGUAAUGGUUGAAGCAAGUGGUGCUCCGAUAGAUCGCAAAGCGUCUAUUGCAAAAAUGAAGCCAUGGAAUCAUCAUCAAGUCUGAGUUGUCCUAAUCUUCAAUCUCUUCCAGUAAAGGGAAUGCCCUCUUCCAUCUGUAGUUUCAACUGCCCAUUGCUCAAACCAUGUCUAAAAUUUGAGAAAGGAGAAUAGUGGCCAAAAACUUUGAUAGAUAGCAGCGCAAAGCGUCAAUUGCCAGCCUUUUUGCACAGUUGAUGAAAGAAAUGUUGUGCUGACAUUCUUUAUGAAUAGGCAAUCACCUCAAUAGUGGUCUGUUAGAAGAGUGUAAGUGAGGAAACAUACAUCUCUUUUGUGUGGAAUUUUGCCAGCUUUACUUCUCUUUCAUCAGUCUGAGAAGGAAAUGUUAUGUAAUUUUCUGUACUGGAGUUUUCCCUAUGCCGAACUUCAAACAUCAAUGAAAAGGACUAGUCAUUCUAUAUA